AUUUCGCCGGAGGAUGAGCUCGCGUCUGAUUAGCUUGUUGGUGGGGUAAUGGCCUACCAAGGCGACGAUCAGUAGCUGGUCUGAGAGGAUGAUCAGCCACACUGGGACUGAGACACGGCCCAGACUCCUACGGGAGGCAGCAGUGGGGAAUUUUGGACAAUGGGCGAAAGCCUGAUCCAGCAAUACCGCGUGCAGGAAGAAGGCCCUCGGGUUGUAAACUGCUUUUGUACGGAACGAAACGGCGCGCUCUAAUAAAGUGCGCUAAUGACGGUACCGUAAGAAUAAGCACCGGCUAACUACGUGCCAGCAGCC
rnacentral:rRNA from 1 species